rnacentral:lncRNA from 1 species
CCUAUCUCCAAAUCAGGUAUUUUAUGAAUAUAACGUGCCUGACUCUCCAAAUGUGUGCUUUGUGUUUAGCUCAUUUAUUAUUAAGCAAUUAAAAAGACCACUGAAUUUGAAAACAGGUAGGUAAAAAUACAGGACCACCAGCUGCAAGUUUCAGGACUGAUUGAUAACAGCAAAGUUCUCUGUUUGUGUGAAAGGAAAGCCACUGAACCUGCAUACAGGAGUCUGCAAGCUGAGCCUCAAAACUCUCAUCACAGGACCGUGUGCUCAGGUUUCUUAACAAAGAACAACCCAUCUUUCUCCUUCCGCUGGUGGAUCCUCCCACUCCGAGUCCUGCGGACACUUUUUUAGAGACAUCAGCAUGCCCUAUGGCCACCCUUCUCCUUGGUUUUGAUGCCUCCCUCCCUGAUGCCCUGAACAAAUUUUAUGCACGGUUUGAGGCACAAAACAACACGAUGGUGAGAAAGACCAUGCCCAAGCCG